rnacentral:rRNA from 1 species
AACGUAGGUUCCGAGCGUUAUCCGGAAUUAUUGGGCGUAAAGCGCGCGCAGGCGGUUUCUUAAGUCUGAUGUGAAAGCCCACGGCUCAACCGUGGAGGGUCAUUGGAAACUGGGGAACUUGAGUGCAGAAGAGAAAAGCGGAAUUCCACGUGUAGCGGUGAAAUGCGUAGAGAUGUGGAGGAACACCAGUGGCGAAGGCGGCUUUUUGGUCUGUAACUGACGCUGAGGCGCGAAAGCGUGGGGAGCAAACAGG